ACUGGGUGGUUGUUAGAAGAAGCGCGUGUGAUGUCAUCACUGCACAACAGGCUGAGUGCCUCAACAAGAGACUGACAUAAAACGAAUUGAAGAUUGAUGUAGAUUGACUUGCCGUCCUGAAAAGUGUGAUCCUGCUGAGUUGCUCACGUAGGGGAAAAGUUGUUCUGCGUGAAUUCAGGGGAGAGAGCAGUGUCCACGUCCUUCAGAGUGCUGGGUUGGUCUGGACAGUCUGUCAGCCAUUUUGUGAGGACUAACUGUCCUUGUGGGGCACUGUGACCCACCACAGAUGCAGAUGUUUCCUUUCUUUUGGUAAGACUUGUUGACACACUAACGGCUGCGUUCAGACUGCAGCCUGAAGUUCCCAAAUCAGAUUUUUUGGCCUCUAUGUUCCUGUAUCUGAUCUUUAAAUGUCAGUCUGAACCACACAGAUCUGAUUUUUUCAAACAUAACCCAGGACACUUGGAUAUGUGCUCCUGAAACUGAUACAUAUCUGAUCUUUAACAUGUGACUUCAGUGUGAACGGACAAAGUGCAUUCAUCCACCUACACGUUAUCAACAAGACACAAACGUCACUAUUCUGCGCUGAAGUCAGCGAAAAUUGUUAAUGAACUCUGUGUGACUGAAGUGAAGCACAUCUCCACUCACCACUCUUGGCUCCGUCUCCACAUCCACACGUUCCUUUCAACGGACUGAACCACAAAACACCACGACCAAAAACCUCGUCCUUCUCCUUCUCAAUCUCCUCCUUAAAACAAGUAAGUUGUUCAUGUUCUGGCUCCGGUACGAGAGGAACUUUAAAAUCUCCAGGUGCUCGAUGCUGCGUCCAUGUUUGGACAACUUCUGUAAACACAGAGACGCUCGCUGCGGUUGACGUCGUCGUGUCUCCAGUGUCACAUGUGGGACACUUUUGGGCCGUUUAAUGUUCACACUGGAGUCACACACAAGUCACAUUUAACUGGAAAUGUGAACGACCUCGAAAAAACAUCGGAUUUCACAAAAAAAUCUGAAUUGAGCGUUAAACCCUGCAGCCUGAACGUAGCCUAAGAGUCUGAGAACCAGUGUUGUGAAGGUGACUUUUAAAAUGUAAUCCACAUUACAGAUUACAGAUUACACACACCAAAAUGUAGUUUGUAACGUAAUCCAUUAAAUUACUUAAAGUGAGUAACAUAAUCUGAAUACUUUGGAUUACUUGAUAUUGUCAUGCUUUUUAAAACUACAUGAAUUUAGCAACAACAUCCUGAAAAUUCGUGGUUUGUUCAGUCUUUACUUGACCAGAUUAAAAAUAUUAUCGAUGGAAAAAUGAUUUUUAUAUGAGACACUGCUUUAAAUUAUGUCCACCUACUGUUAGUGUCACACUGUAUAGU